rnacentral:rRNA from 1 species
AUGCAGUCGAGGGGUAACAGGGAUUGCUUGCAAUCCGCUGACGACCGGCGCACGGGUGCGUAACGCGUAUGCAACCUACCUUUUACAGGGGUAUAGUCAAGAGAAAUUUUGAAUAACACCCCAUACGAUCAUUUUUACACCUGUAAAGAUGAAGAAAACUCCGGUGGUAAAAGAUGGGCAUGCGUCCUAUUAGUUAGUUGGUGAGGUAACGGCUCACCAAGACCGCGAUAGGUAGGGGUCCUGAGAGGGAGAUCCCCCACACUGGUACUGAGACACGGACCAGACUCCUACGGGAGGCAGCAGUGAGGAAUAUUGGACAAUGGAGGCAACUCUGAUCCAGCCAUGCCGCGUGCAGGAAGACUGCCCUAUGGGUUGUAAACUGCUUUUAUACAGGAAGAAACCUUGGUACGUGUACCAAGCUGACGGUACUGUAAGAAUAAGGAUCGGCUAACUCCGUGCCAGCAGCCGCGGUAAUACGGAGGAUCCAAGCGUUAUCCGGAAUCAUUGGGUUUAAAGGGUCCGCAGGCGGUCUUUUAAGUCAGAGGUGAAAUCCUAUCGCUCAACGAUAGAACUGCCUUUGAUACUGAAAGACUUGAGUUAUUGUGAAGUGGUUAGAAUAUGUAGUGUAGCGGUGAAAUGCAUAGAUAUUACAUAGAAUACCGAUUGCGAAGGCAGAUCACUAACAAUACACUGACGCUGAGGGACGAAAGCGUGGGUAGCGAACAGGAUUAGAUACCCUGGUAGUCCACGCCGUAAACGAUGGAUACUAGCUGUUUGACCAACAUUGGUUGGUUGAGUGGCUAAGCGAAAGUGAUAAGUAUCCCACCUGGGGAGUACGCUCGCAAGAGUGAAACUCAAAAGGAAUUGACGGGGGCCCGCACAAGCGGUGGAGCAUGUGGUUUAAUUCGAUGAUACGCGAGGAACCUUACCAGGGCUUAAAUGU